rnacentral:rRNA from 2 species
CAGCCGCCGCGGUAAAACCAGCACCUCAAGUGGUCAGGAUGAUUAUUGGGCCUAAAGCAUCCGUAGCCGGUAGCAUAAGUUUUCGGUUAAAUCUAUGCGCUCAACGUAUAGGCCGCCGAAAAUACUGUGCAGCUAGGGAGUGGGAGAGGUACACGGUACUCAAUAGGAAGGGGUAAAAUCCUUUGAUCUAUUGAUGACCACCUGUGGCGAAGGCGGUGUACCAGAACACGUUCGACGGUGAGGGAUGAAGCUGGGGGAGCAAACCGGAUUAGAUACCCGGGUAGUCCCAGCUGUAAACUAUGCAAACUCAGUGAUGCAUUGGCUUGUGGCCAAUGCAGUGCUGCAGGGAAGCCGUUAAGUUUGCCGCCUGGGAAGUACGUACGCAAGUAUGAAACUUAAAGGAAUUGGCGGGGGAGCAC